rnacentral:rRNA from 1 species
GACAGAGGAUUCAAGCAUUAUCCGGAAUGAUUGGGCGUAAAGCGUCUAUAGGUGGCUUUUCAAGUCCGCCAUCAAAUCCCAGGGCUCAACCCUGGACAUGCAGUGGAAACUACCAAGCUAGAGUACGGUAGAGGUAGAGGGAAUUUCCGGUGGAGCGGUGAAAUGUGUAGAGAUCGGAAAGAACACUAAUGGCAAAAGCACUAUGCUGGGCCGACACUGACACUGAGAGACGAAGCUAGGGGAUCAAAAUGGG